GACGAACGCUGGCGGCGUGCCUAAUACAUGCAAGUAGAACGCAGUUGCGACCGGGUGAGUAACGCGUAGGUAACUGCCUGGUAUCGGGGGAUAACUAUUGGAAACGAUAGCUAAUACCGCAUACUACCAGAUGGACCUGCGUUUUAUUAGCUAGUUGGUGGGGUAACGGCUCACCAAGGCAACGAUACAUCGCCGACCUGAGAGGGUGAUCGGCCAGACUGGGACUGAGACACGGCCCAGACGCCUACGGGAGGCAGCAGUAGGGAAUCUGCGGCAAUGGACGAAAGUCUGACCGAGCAACGCCGCGUGAGUGAAGAAGGUUUUCGGAUCGUAAAACUCUGUUGUUAGAGAAGCGGGAUCUAACCAGAAAGCCACGGCUAACUACGUGCCAGCCGCCGCGGUAAUUC
rnacentral:rRNA from 1 species